GUGGGGAAUCUUCCGCAAUGGACGAAAGUCUGACGGAGCAACGCCGCGUGAGUGAAGAAGGUUUUCGGAUCGUAAAGCUCUUUCGUUAGGGACGAACGUGCUCUUUGUGAAUAAUGAGGAGUAAUGACGGUACCUAAAUAAGAAGCCACGGCUAACUACGUGCCAGCAGCCGCGGUAAUACGUAGGUGGCAAGCGUUGUCCGGAAUUAUUGGGCGUAAAGCGCGCGCAGGCGGGAUAUCAAGUCUGUCUUAAAAGUGCGAGGCUCAACCUCGUGAGGGGACAGAAACUGGUAUUCUUGAGUGUCGGAGAGGAAAGUGGAAUUCCAAGUGUAGCGGUGAAAUGCGUAGAGAUUAGGAAGAACACCGGUGGCGAAGGCGACUUUCUGGACGACAACUGACGCUGAGGCGCGAAAGCGUGGGGAGCAAACAGGAUUAGAAACCCCGGUAGUCC
rnacentral:rRNA from 1 species